CAGCAGCCGCGGUAAUACGUAGGUCCCGAGCGUUGUCCGGAUUUAUUGGGCGUAAAGCGAGCGCAGGCGGUUUCUUAAGUCUGAUGUGAAAGCCCCCGGCUCAACCGGGGAGGGUCAUUGGAAACUGGGAAACUUGAGUGCAGAAGAGGAGAGUGGAAUUCCACGUGUAGCGGUGAAAUGCGUAGAGAUGUGGAGGAACACCAGUGGCGAAGGCGACUCUCUGGUCUGUAACUGACGCUGAGGAGCGAAAGCGUGGGGAGCGAACAGGAUUAGAGACCCCCGUAGUCCCUGUCUCUUAUAC
rnacentral:rRNA from 1 species